AGUGAACGCUGGCGGUAGGCCUAACACAUGCAAGUCGAACGGCAGCACAGUAAGAGCUUGCUCUUACGGGUGGCGAGUGGCGGACGGGUGAGGAAUACAUCGGAAUCUACUUUUUCGUGGGGGAUAACGUAGGGAAACUUACGCUAAUACCGCAUACGACCUACGGGUGAAAGCAGGGGAUCUUCGGACCUUGCGCGAUUGAAUGAGCCGAUGUCGGAUUAGCUAGUUGGCGGGGUAAAGGCCCACCAAGGCGACGAUCCGUAGCUGGCCUGAGAGGAUGUUCAGCCCAGCUGAAACUGGACCACGGGCCAAACUCCUACGGAGGCACGCCGCGGGAAAUUUCGGGCAGGGGGCGUAAGCCAUUUCCGGCCAUGCGCGGUGGGUGAAGAAGGCCUUCGGGUUUGAAAGCCCUUUUGUUGGGAAAAAAAAGCGGCCGGUUAUUACCCCGCUUUUUGACCGGUCCCCAAAGAAUAAGCCCCGCUAACCUUGUU
rnacentral:rRNA from 1 species